rnacentral:rRNA from 1 species
GAUGAACGCUGGCGGCGUGCCUAAUACAUGCAAGUCGAGCGAACAGACGAGGAGCUUGCUCCUCUGACGUUAGCGGCGGACGGGUGAGUAACACGUGGAUAACCUACCUAUAAGACUGGGAUAACUUCGGGAAACCGGAGCUAAUACCGGAUAAUAUAUUGAACUGCAUGGUUCAAUAGUGAAAGACGGUUUUGCUGUCACUUAUAGAUGGAUCCGCGCCGCAUUAGCUAGUUGGUAAGGUAACGGCUUACCAAGGCAACGAUGCGUAGCCGACCUGAGAGGGUGAUCGGCCACACUGGAACUGAGACACGGUCCAGACUCCUACGGGGGGCAGCAGUAGGGAAUCUUCCGCAAUGGGCGAAAGCCUGACGGAGCAACGCCGCGUGAAUGAUGAAGGUCUUCGGAUCGUAAAACUCUGUUAUUAGGGAAGAACAAAUGUGUAAGUAACUAUGCACGUCUUGACGGUACCUAAUCAGAAAGCCACGGCUAACUACGUG